AGGGAGCUGCCUCUAUAAAUAGGGUGAAGCCCACGAGACAUGUUCACACCCAGCAGAGCUUCCCAAGAGAUUUUCUGAACGUUCACAGUUGUCCGCCAGACGGUCGAGUUGUCUCAUGAUGCGCCGCCUGCGGAUACUCGUGGCAAUGGUGCUCCUCAUCUCUGGCACCUGCAUGUCUGCUCCACAGCGAUUGGGCGGAGCAGGUGCCUUAGGGCCAUUUCCACUUGGCUUGCUCUCAGCUCAACGGAAGAUCGUCGGUAAGGCCCUUAAGAACCCCGAUGUACCUGUCACUGGUACCAUCCUGAAGCUAGGGUGAUCCCUACUACAGGAUCAGCAACUACUACAAAUCCAGCAACAAAUGCUUUCAGCAAGCCUGCUUGUCUCCCAUCUCCAUCCUGCUUGUCUUCACUAUCCUGCUACACGUGACCCGCUGACGUACCCUGUACUCAGUGUCAGUGAACAGAUACAACAGUGAACAUUCAGUAACCGCUCUGACACAAAUAUUAUCACAAUGUGGUGACAACACACCUUCACUAACAUGUGGCCAGCAUUAACACACAGCAGUAAGAACGAUGGCCAACAAACAAACAAACAUAAACAAGUGAGAUGCUGCACUUUACAAACAAACAAACAUAAACAAGUGAGAUGCUGCACUUUACAAACAACAAACAUAAACAAGUGAGAUGCUGCACUUGACAAACAAAUGUUUCUGCUACUAGACGACAUUGUGUUUAUCUACAAUACAAAAUGUUUUUAUAAUGUUGUCAAUGUUAGCUGUAGUCUGUAUUUACUUACUCCAAUGUCUUGUCAGUGUACUGCCACAAGCUUCAGUGUAGAUAAAUGACAUCCUGUAGGCUCACUGUGUCUACUGUAGCCCUAUGAUGACUCUUGUCAUCGUGUCACGUGCAGCUUGAAACAUUGUCCACGAUGUCCUUACACACAAGCUCUCUGUUAUGUCUGUGUGUUCACUUCACUCUUGCUCCAUCUUUUAGUCUGCUUCUGCUGCUGGAUGAAAUAAUCUUGAAGUAAACAUAUCUAUCUUCAAUCAAA